rnacentral:rRNA from 1 species
AUGCAAUCGCUUGGAAUCCUCAAGUCUUUGGUAUUAGCUUAUAACUCAAGAUUGAAAUCUCUACAGCUGCAUUCCUGCACGUCGCUGGAACGUUGGGAAAUUGAUGAUUGUAGUUCGCUUGUCACAAUAGAGGGCUUGCGAUCCCUCGUGAACCUCAAGAAUUUGAAAAUAGUCGAUUCCCCUGCCUUGGGUUCCCUUAUCUCAUUUGACAGUUAUGAGCCAACUGAGAGAUUUCCAAGUCAUAGCUAUGAGUUAUUCCCUGCACUUGAAAGUCUCGAGAUCGAUGCCUUGUCUCCCCUUAACAUGUCAUUCUGCAAGGACCUCACCUGCCUCCGAAGCCUAAAGCUUUUUUACAUGAAGGAUGCAACGAGACUAACAGAUGAGCAAGAGAGAGCGCUUCUGCUCCUCAGGUCCCUGCAAGAGCUCUGCUUUCAGGCUUGUAGGCAUCUCGUACAUCUUCCCACGGGGCUGCGGAGCCUCCCUUCCCUCAAGACGUUGAAGAUCAUAGAUUGUGAUGGCAUCUCAGGGCUUCCGAAGGAGGGCCUACCACCUGCGCUGGAAGAACUGAAAAUCUUCUAUUGCAGUGCCGAGUUAUCAAAACAAUGCAGAUUGCUAGCAACAAGCAAGCUAGAGGUCAAAAUUGAUGAGGACUAUGUGGACUGA